UUUGAAAUACUUGCACACAAACCGCGAGAAAGCGUUCCUGGAAAUCUCAGCCCAAAAAAGGAUGUUUAGUAAUUCUAAAAGGGACUACAGGAUGAAAAACAAUAGUUUUGGCAGUUAAAGUUUGAGAUUUGACGGUGUCGUAGAUCCGUUUGGUCAUCAGGUGUUACGAGCCACACCCAUGUCUAGCUAGAAUAGUGUGUUAGGCUCAGGCUAGAGAAGAAACGGGGAACAAACUGAUGAAAGAAUGAUCAAACCGAGGGGAUUCACUCAGAACUAACAAGAAUGAUAACGUGCUCCGACUAGAGCGGUUUAGGAACUUCUGGAAGGCUCUAGGGGAAUAAAGAUGGAAUGACUUCUAAUUUUUAGGUCCGUAUGAUUUGAAAUACUUUCACACAAACCGCGCGAAAGCGUUCCUGGAAAUCUCAGCCCCAAAAAGGACGUUUAGUAAUUCUAGAAGGGACUAUAGGAUGAAAAACAAUAGUUUUGGUAGUUAAAGUUUGAGAUUCGAUGGUGCCGUGGAUCCGUUUGGUCAUCAGGUGUUACGAGCCACACCCAUGUCUAGCUAGAAUAGUAUGUUAGGCUCAGGUUAGAGAAGAAACGGGGAACAAACUGAUGAAAAAAUGAUCAUACCAAGGGAAUUCACUCAGAACUAACAAGAAUGAUAACGUGCUCCGACUGGAGCGGUUUAGGAACUGCUGGAAGGCUCUAGGGGAAUAAAGAUGGAAUGACUUCUAAUUUUUACGUCCGUAUGAUUUGAAAUACUUGCACACAAACCACGCAAAAGCGUUCCUGGAAAUCUCAGCCUAAAAAAGGACGUUUAGUAAUUCUAAAAGGGACUACAGGAUGAAAAAUAAUAGUUUGGGCAGUUAAAAUUUGAGAUUCAACGGUGCCGUAGAUCCGUUUGGUCAUGAGGUGUUACGAGCCACACCCAUGUCUAGCUAGAAUAGUGUGUUAGGCUCAGGCUAGAGAAGAAACGGGGAACAAAUUGAUGAAAGAAUGAUCAUACCGAGGGAAUUCACUCAGAACUAACAAGAAUGAUAACGUGCUCCGACUGGAGCAGUUUGGAAACUGUUGGUAGGCUCUAGGGGAAUAAAGAUGGAAUCACUUCAAAUUUUUAGGUCCGUAUGAUUUGAAAUACUGGCACACAAACCGCGCGAAAGUGUUCCUGGAAAUCUCAGCCCAAAAAAGGACGUUUAGUAAUUCUAAAAGGGACUACAGGAUGAAAAACAAUACUUUUGGCAGUUAAAGUUUGAGAUUCGACGGUGCCGUAGAUCUGUUUGGUCAUCAGGUGUAACGAGCCACACCCAUGUCUAGCUAGAGUAGUGUGCUAGGCUCAGACUAGAGAAGAAACGGGGAACAAAGUGAUGAAAGAAUGAUCAUACCGAGGGAAUUCACUCAGAACUAACAAGAAUGAUAACGUGCUCCGACUGGAGCGGUUUAGGAACUGCUGGAAGGCUCUAGGGAAAUAAAGAUGGAAUGACUUCUAAUUUUUAGGUCCAUAUCAUUUGAAAUACGUGCACACAAACCCCGAGAAAGCGUUCCUGGAAAUCUCGGCCGAAAAAAGGAUGUUUAAUAAUUCUAAAAGGGACUACAGGAUGAAAAACAAUAGUUUUGGCAGUUAAAGUUUGAGAUUUGACGGUGCCGUAGAUCUGUUUGGUCAUCAGGGGUUACGAGCCACACCCAUGUCUAGCUAGAAUAGUGUGUUAGGCUCAGGCUAGAGAAGAAACGGGGAACAAAUUGAUGAAAGAAUGAUCAUACCGAGGGAAUUCACUCAGAACUAACAAGAAUGAUAACGUGCUCCGACUGGAGCAGUUUGGAAACUGUUGGUAGGCUCUAGGGGAAUAAAGAUGGAAUCACUUCUAAUUUUUAGGUCCGUAUGAUUUGAAAUACAUGCACACAAACCCCAAGAAAGCGUUCCUGGAAAUCUCGCCCCGAAAAACGACGUUUAGUAAUUCUAAAAGGGACUACAGGAUGAAAAACAAUACUUUUGGCAGUUAAAGUUUGAGAUUCGACGGUGCCGUAGAUCUGUUUGGUCAUCAGGUGUAACGAGCCACACCCAUGUCUAGCUAGAGUAGUGUGCUAGGCUCAGACUAGAGAAGAAACGGGGAACAAAGUGAUGAAAGAAUGAUCAUACCGAGGGAAUUCACUCAGAACUAACAAGAAUGAUAACAUGCUCCGACUGGAGCGGUUUAGGAAGUGCUGGAAGGCUCUAGGGAAAUAAAGAUGGAAUGACUUCUAAUUUUUAGGUCCAUAUCAUUUGAAAUACGUGCACACAAACCCCGAGAAAGCGUUCCUGGAAAUCUCGGCCGAAAAAAGGAUGUUUAAUAAUUCUAAAAGGGACUACAGGAUGAAAAACAAUAGUUUUGGCAGUUAAAGUUUGUGAUUCGAUGGUGCCGUAGAUCUGUUUGGUCAUCAGGUGUUACGAGCCACACCCAUGUCUAGCUAGAACAGUGUGUUAGGCUCAGGCUAGAGCAGAAACGGGGAACAAACUUAUGAAAGAAUGAUCAUACCGAGGGAAUUCACUCAGAACUAACAAGAAUGAUAACGUGCUCCAACUGGAGCGGUUUAGGAACUGCUGGAAGGCUCUAGGGGAAUAAAGAUGGAAUGACUUCAAAUUUUUAGGUCCGUAUGAUUUGAAAUACUUGCACACAAACCGCUAGAAAGCGUUCCUGGAAAUCUCAGCCCAAAAAAGGACGUUUAGUAAUUCUAAAAGGGACUACAGGAUGAAAAACAAUAGUUCUGGCAGUUAAAGUUUGAGCUUCGAUAAUGUCGUAGAUCCGUUUGGUCAUCAGGUGUAACGAGCCACACCCAUUUCUAGCUAGAGUAGUGUGCUAGGCUCAGACUAGAGAAGAAAUGGGCAACAAACUAAUGAAAGAAUGAUCAUACCGAGGGAAUUCACUCAGAACUAACAAGAAUGAUAACGUGCUCCGACUGGAGCGGUUUAGGAACUGCUGGAAGGCUCUAGGGGAAUAAAGAAGGAAUGACUUCUAAUUUUUAGGUCCGUAUGAUUUGAAAUGUGUGCACACAAACCCCGAGAAAGCAUUCCUGGAAAUCUCGGCCCAAAAAAGGACGUUUAGUAAUUCUAAAAGGGACUACAGGAUGAAAAACAAUAGUUUUGGCAGUUAAAGUUUGAGAUUCGAUAAUGCCGUAGAUCCGUUUGGUCAUCAGGUGUAACGAGCCACACCCAUGUCUGGUUAGAGUAGUGUGCUAGGCUCAGACUAGAUAAGAAACGGGGAACAAACUGAUGAAAGAAUGAUCAUACCGAGCGAAUUCACUCAGAACUAACAAGAAUGAUAACAUGCUCCGACUGGAGCGGUUUAGGAACUGCUGGAAGGCUCUAGGGGAAUAAAGAUGGAAUGACUUCUAAUUUUUAGGUCCGUAUGAUUUGAAAUACUUGCACACAAACCACGCGAAAGCGUUCCUGGAAAUCUCAGCCCAAAAAAGGACGUUUAGUAAUUCUAAAAGGGACUACAGGAUGAAAAACAAUAGUUUUGGCAGUUAAAGUUUGAGAUUCGACAGUGCCGUAGAUCCGUUUGGUCAUCAGGUAUUACGAGCCACACCCAUGUCUAGCUAGAAUAGUGUGCUAGGCUCAGGCUAGAGAAGAAACGGGGAACAAACUGAUGAAAGAAUGAUCAAACCGAGGGAAUUCACUCAGAACUAACAAUAAUGAUAACGUGCUCCGACUGGUGCGGUUUAGGAACUGCUGGAAGGCUCUAGGGGAAUAAAGAUGGAAUGACUUCUAAUUUUUAGGUCCGUAUGAUUUGAAAUACUUGCACACAAACCGCGCGAAAGCGUUCCUGGAAAUCUCAGCCCAAAAAAGGACGUUUAGUAAUUUUAAAAGGGACUAUAGGAUGAAAAACAAUAGUUUUGGCAAUUAAAGUUUGAGAUUCGACGGUGUCGUAGAUCCGUUUGGUCAUCAGGUGUUACGAGCCACACCCAUGUCUAGCUAGAAUAGUAUGUCAGGCUCAGGUUAGAGUAGAAACGGGGAACAAACUGAUGAAAGAAUGAUCAUACCAAGGGAAUUCACUCAGAACUAUCAAGAAUGAUAACGUGCUCCGACUGGAGUGAUUUAGGAACUGCUGGAAGGCUCUAGGGGAAUAAAGAUGGAAUGACUUCUAAUUUUUACGUCCGUAUGAUUUGAAAUACUUGCACACAAAUCACGCAAAAGCGUUCCUGGAAAUCUCAGCCUAAAAAAGGACGUUUAGUAAUUCUAAAAGGGACUACAGGAUGAAAAACAAUAGUUUGGGCAGUUAAAAUUUGAGAUUCGACGGUGCCGUAGAUCCGUUUGGUCAUCAGGUGUUACGAGCGACACCCUUGUCUAGCUAGAAUAGUGUGUUAGGCUCAGACUAGAGAAGAAACGGGGAACAAAGUGAUGAAAGAAUGAUCAUACCGAGGGAAUUCACUCAGAACUAACAAGAAUGAUAACGUGCUCCGACUGGAGCGGUUUAGUAACUGCUGGAAGGCUCUAGGGGAAUGAAGAUGGAAUGACUUCUAAUUUUUAGGUCCGUAUGAUUUGAAAUACAUGCACACAAACCCUGAGAAAGCGUUCCUGGAAAUCUCGGUCGAAAAAAGGAUGUUUAAUAAUUCUAAAAGGGACUACCGGAUGAAAAACAAUAGUUUUGGCAGUUAAAGUUUGUGAUUCGAUGGUGCCGUAGAUCUGUUUGGUCAUCAGGUGUUACGAGCCACACCCAUGUCUAUCUAGAAUAGUGUGUUAGGCUCAGGCUAGAGCAGAAACGGGGAACAGACUUAUGAAAGAAUGAUCAUACCGAGGGAAUUCACUCAGAACUAACAAGAAUGAUAACGUGCUCCGACUGGCGCGGUUUAGGAACUGCUGGAAGGCUCUAGGGGAAUAAAGAUGGAAAGACUUCUAAUUUUUAGGUCCGUAUGAUUUGAAAUACUUGCACACAAACCGCACGAAAGCGUUCCUGGAAAUCUCAGCCUAAAAAGGAUGUUUAGUAAUUCUAAAAGGGACUACAAGAUGAAAAAUAAUAGUUUGGGCAGUUAAAAUUUGAGAUUCGACGAUGCCGUAGAUCCGUUUGGUCAUCAGGUGUUAUGAGCCACACCCAUGUCUAGCUAGAAUAGUGUGUUAGGCUCAGGCUAGAGAAGAAACGGGGAACAAACUGAUGAAAGAAUGAUCAUACCGAGGGAAUUCACUCAGAACUAACAAGAAUGAUAACGUGCUCCGACUGGAGCAGUUUAGAAACUGCUGGAAGGCUCUAAUGGAAUAAAGAUGGAAUGCCUUCAAAUUUCUAGGUCCGUAUGAUUUGAAAUACUUGCACACAAACCGCUCGAAAGCGUUCCUGGAAAUCUCAGCCCAAAAAAGGACGUUUAGUAAUUCUAAAAGGGACUACAGGAUGAAAAACAAUAGUUUUGGCAGUUAAAGUUUGAGAUUCGAUGGUGCCGUAGAUCCGUUUGGUCAUCAGGUGUAACGAGCCACACACAUGUCUAGCUAGAGUAGUGUGCUAGGCUCAGACUAGAGAAGAAACGGGGAACAAAGUGAUGAAAGAAUGAUCAUACCGAGGGAAUUCACUCAGAACUUACAAGAAUGAUAACGUGCUCCGACUGGAGCGCUUUAGUAACUGCUGGAAGGCUCUAGGCGAAUAAAGAUGGAAUGACUUCUAAUUUUUAGGUCCGUAUGAUUUGAAAUACUUGCACACAAACCACGCAAAACCGUUCCUAGAAAUCUCGGUCGAAAAAAGGACGUUUAGUAAUUCUAAAAGGGACUACAGGAUGAAAAACAAUAGUUUUGGCAGUUAAAGUUUGAGAUUCGAUGGUGCCGUAGAUCCGUUUGGUCAUCAGGUGUUACGAGCCACACCCAUGUCUAGCUAGAGUAGUGUGCUAGGUUCAGACUAGAGAAGAAACGGGGAACAAAGUGAUUAAAGAAUGAUCAUACCGAGGGAAUUCACUCAGAACUAACAAGAAUGAUAACGUGCUCCGACUGGAGCGGUUUAGGAACUGCUGGAAGGCUCUAGGGGAAUAAAGAUGGAAUGACUUCUAAUUUUUACGUCCGUAUGAUUUGAAAUACAUGCACACAAACCACGCAAAAGCGUUCCUGGAAAUCUCAGCCUAAAAAAGGACGUUUAGUAAUUCUAAAAGGGACUACAGGAUGAAAAAUAAUAGUUUGGGCAGUUAAAAUUUGAGAUUCGACGCUGCCGUAGAUCCGUUUGGUCAUCAGGUCUUACGAGCCACACCCAUGUCUAGCUAGAAUAGUGUGUUAGGCUCAGGCUAGAGAAGAAACGGGGAACAAACUGAUGAAAGAAUGAUCAUACCGAGGGAAUUCACUCAGAACUAACAAGAAUGAUAACGUGCUCCGACUGGAGCAGUUUAGAAACUCCUGGAAGGCUCUAGGGGAAUAAAGAUGGAAUGACUUCAAAGUUUUAGGUCCGUAUGAUUUGAAAUACUUGCACACAAACCGCGUGAAAGCGUUCCUGGAAAUCUCAACCCAAAAAAGGGCGUUUAGUAAUUCUAAAAGGGACUACAGGAUGUAAAACAAUAGUUUUGGCAGUUAAAGUUUGAGAUUCGAUGGUGCCGUAGAUCCGUUUGGUCAUCAGGUGUAACGAGCCACACCCAUGUCUAGCUAGAGUAGUGUGCUAGGCUCAGACUAGAGAAGAAACGGGGAACAAAGUGAUGAAAGAAUGAUCAUACCGAGGGAAUUCACUCAUAACUAACAAGAAUGAUAACGUGCUCUGACUUGAGCGGUUUAGGAACUGCUGGAAGGCUAUAGGGGAAUAAAGAUGGAAUGACUUCAAAUUUUUAGGUCCGUAUGAUCUGAAAUACUUGCACACAAACCGCGAGAAAGCGUUCCUGGAAAUCUCAACCCAAAAAAGGACGUUUAGUAAUUCUAAAAGGGACUACAGGAUGAAAAACAAUAGUUCUGGCAGUUAUUGUUUGAGAUUCGAUAAUCUCGUAGAUCCGUUUGGUCAUCAGGUGUAACGAGCCACACCCAUGUCUAGCUAGAGUAGUGUGCUAGGCUCAGACUAGAGAAGAAACGGGGAACAAACUGAUGAAAGAAUGAUCAUACCGAGGGAAUUCACUUAGAACUAACAAGAAUGAUAACGUGCUCCGACUGGAGCGGUUUAGGAACUGCUGGAAGGCUCUAGGGGAAUAAAGAAGGAACGACUUCUAAUUUUUAGGUCCGUAUGAUUUGAAAUAUGUGCACACAAACCACGAGAAAGCGUUCCUAGAAAUCUCGGCCCAAAAGAGGACGUUUAGUAUUCUAAAAGGGACUACAGAAUGAAAAACAAUAGUUUUGGCAGUUAAAGUUUGAGAUUUGACGGUGCCGUAGAUCUGUUUGGUCAUCAGGGGUUACGAGCCACACCCAUGUCUAGCUAGAAUAGUGUGUUAGGCUCAGGCUAGAAAAGAAACGGGGAACAAAGUGAUGAAAGAAUGAUCAUACCGAGGGAAUUCACUCAGAACUAACAAGAAUGAUAACAUGCUCCGACUGGAGCGGUUUAGGAACUGCUGGAAGGCUCUAGGGGAAUAAAGAUGGAAUGACUUCUAAUUUUUAGGUCCGUAUGAUUUGAAAUACUUGCACACAAACCGCGCGAAAGCGUUCCUGGAAAUCUCAGCCCAAAAAAGGACGUUUAGUAAUUCUAAAAGGGACUACAGGAUGAAAAACAAUAGUUUUGGCAGUUAAAGUAUGAGAUUCAACGGUGCCGUAGAUCCGUUUGGUCAUUAGGUGUUACGAGCCACACCCAUGUCUAGCUAGAAUAGUGUGCUAGGCUCAGGCUAGAGAAGAAACGGGGAACAAACUGAUGAAAGAAUGAUCAAACCGAGGGAAUUCACUCAGAACUAACAAUAAUGAUAACGUGCUCCGACUGGAGCGGUUUAGGAACUGCUGGAAGUCUCUAGGGGAAUAAAGAUGGAAUGACUUCUAAUUUUUACGUUCGUAUGAUUUGAAAAACUUGCCCAUAAACCGCGCGAAAGUGUUCCUGGAAAUCUCAGCCCAAAAAAGGACGUUUAGUAAUUUUAAAAGGGACUACACGAUGAAAAACAAUAGUUUUGGCAGGUAAAGUUUGAGAUUCGACAGUGCCGUAGAUCCGUUUGGUCAUCAGGUGUUACGAGCCACACCCAUGUCUAGCUAGAAUAGUAUGUUACGCUCAGGUUAGAGAAGAAACGGGGAACAAACUGAUGAAAGAUGAUCAUACCAAGGGAAUUCACUCAGAACUAACAAGAAUGAUAACGUGCUCCGACUGGAGCGGUUUAGGAACUGCUGGAAGGCUCUAGGGGAAUAAAGAUGGAAUGACUUCUAAUUUUUACGUCUGUAUGAUUUGAAAUACUUGCACACAAACAACGCAAAAGCAUUCCUGGAAAUCUCAUCCUAAAAAAGGACGUUUAGUAAUUCUAAAAGGGACUACAGGAUGAAAAAUAAUAGUUUGGGAAGUUAAAAUUUGAGAUUCGAUAGUGCCGUAGAUCCGUUUGGUCAUCAGGUGUUAGGAGCCACACCCAUGUCUAGCUAGAAUAGUGUGUUAGGCUCAGGCUAGAGAAGAAACAGGGAACAAACUGAUGAAAGAAUGAUCAUACCGAGGGAAUUCACUCAGAACUAGCAAGAAUGAUAACGUGCUCCGACUGGAGCAGUUUUGAAACUGCUGGAAGGCUCUAGGGGAAUAAUGAUGGAAUGACUUCUAAGUUUUUGGUCCGUAUGAUUUGAAAUACGUGCACACAAACCCAGAGAAAGUGUUCUUGGAAAUCUCGGCCGAAAAAAGGAUGUUUAAUAAUUCUAAAAGGGACUACAGGAUGAAAAACAAUAGUUUUGGCAGUUAAAGUUUGUGAUUCGAUGGUGCUGUAGAUCUGUUUGGUCAUCAGGUGUUAUGAGCCACACCCAUGUCUAGCUAGAACAGUGUGUUAGGCUCAGGCUAGAGCAGAAACGGGGAACAAACUUAUGAAAGAAUGAUCAUACCGAGGGAAUUCACUCAGAACUAACAAGAAUGAUAACGUGCUCCGACUGGAGAGGUUUAGGAACUGCUGGAAGGCUCUAGGGGAAUAAAGAUGGAAUGACUUCAAAUUUUUAGGUCUGUAUGAUCUGAAAUACUUGCACACAAACCGCGAGAAAGCGUUCCUGGAAAUCUCAGCCCAAAAAAGGACGUUUAGUGAUUCUAAAAGGGACUACGGGAUAAAAAACAAUAGUUUUGGCAGUUAAAGUUUGAGAUUCGAUAAUGCCGUAGAUCCGUUUGGUCAUCAGGUGUAACGAGCCACACCCAUGUCUAGCUAGAGUAGUGUGCUAGGCUCAUACUAGAGAAGAAAUGGGGAACAAACUGAUGAAAGAAUGAUCAUACCGAGGGAGUUCACUCAAAACUAACAUGAAUGAUAACGUGCUCCGACUGGAGCGGUUUAGGAACUGCUGGAAGGCUCUAGGGGAAUAAAGAUGGAAUGACUUCUAAUUUUUAGGUCCGUAUGAUUUGAAAUACAUGCACACAAACCCCAAGAAAGCGUUCCUGGAAAUCUCGCCCCGAAAAACGACGUUUAGUAAUUCUAAAAGGGACUAUAGGAUGAAAAACAAUAGUUUUGGCAGUUAAAGUUUGAGAUUUGACGGUGCCGUAGAUCUGUUUGGUCAUCAGGUGUUACGAGCCACACCCAUUUCUAGCUAGAAUAGUGUGUUAGGCUCAGGCUAGAAAAGAAACGGGGAACAAAGUGAUGAAAGAAUGAUCAUACCGAGGGAAUUCACUCAGAACUAACAAGAAUGAUAACAUGGUCCGACUGGAGCGGUUUAGGAACUGCUGGAAGGCUCUAGGGGAAUAAAGAUGGAAUGACUUCUAACUUUUAGGUCCGUAUGAUUUGAAUUACUUGCACACAAACCGCGCGAAAGCGUUCCUGGAAAUCUCAGCCCAAAAAAGGACGUUUAGUAAUUCUAAAAGGGACUACAGGAUGAAAAACAAUAGUUUUGGCAGUUAAAGUUUGAGAUUCGACGGUGCCGUAGAUCCGUUUGGUCAGCAGGUGUUACGAGCCACACCCAUGUCUAGCUAGAGUAGUGUGCUAGGUUCAGACUAGAGAAGAAAUGUUGGGGAACGUAGCAGAAAUUCAAAAUUUUCCUACGUGUCACCAAGAUCUAUCUAUGGAGAGACUAGCAACGAGGGAAGGAGAGUGCAUCUACAUACCCUUGUAGAUCGCUAAGCGGAAGCGUUCAAGUGAACGGGGUUGAUGGAGUCGUACUCGUCGUGAUUCAGCUCACCGAUGAUCCUAGUGCCGAACGGACGGCACCUCCGCGUUCAACACACGUACAGCUCGACGAUGUCUCCCACGCCUUGAUCCAGCAAGGAGAGAGGGAGAGGUUGAGGAAGACUCCAUCCAGCAGAAGCACAACGGCGUGGUGGUGAUGGAGGAGCAUGGCAAUCCUGCAGGGCUUCGCCAAGCACCUAUGGGAGAGGAGGAGGUGUCACGGGAGGGAGGGAGGCGCCAAGGGCUCAGGUAUAGAUGCCCUCCCUCCCCUCCACUAUAUAUAGGGGCAAGGGAGAGGGGGGAGGCGCAGCCUUGCCCCUUCCUCCAAGGAAGGGGUGCGGCUAAGAGGGGGGGAGGAGUCCAUCCUCCCCAAGGCACCUCGGAGGUGCCUUCCCCCUUUAGGACUCUCCCCUUUUUCCUAUAUCUUGGCGCAUGGGCCUCUAGGGGCUGGUUCCCUUGGCCCAUGUAGGCCCAGGCGCACCCCCUACAGCCCAUGUGGCCCCCCGGGGCAGGUGGCCCCACCUGGUGGGCCCCCGGGACCCUUCCGGUGGUCCCGGUACAAUACCGAUGACCCCGAAACUUGUCCCGAUGGCCGAAACAGGACUUCCUAUAUAUAAAUCUUUACCUCCGGACAAUUCCGGAACUCCUCGUGACGUCCGGGAUCUCAUCCGGGACUCCGAACAACAUUCGGUAACCACAUACAAACUUCCUUUAUAACCCUAGCGUCAUCGAACCUUAAGUGUGUAGACCCUACGGGUUCGGGAGACAUGUAGUCAUGACCGAGAUGUUCUCCGGUCAAUAACCAACAGCGGGAUCUGGAUACCCAUGUUGGCUCCCACAUGUUCCACGAUGAUCUCAUCGGAUGAACCACGAUGUCAAGGACUCAAUCAAUCCCGUAUACAAUUCCCUUUGUCUAGCGGUAUGGUACUUGCCCGAGAUUCGAUCGUCGGUAUACCGAUACCUUGUUCAAUCUCGUUACCGGCAAGUCUCUUUACUCAUUUCGUAACACAUCAUCCCGUGAUCAACCCCUUGGUCACAUUGUGCACAUUAUGAUGAUGUCCUACCGAGUGGGCCCAGAGAUACCUCUCCGUUUACACGGAGUGACAAAAUCCCAAUCUCGAUUCGUGCCAACCCAACAGACACUUUCAGAGAUACCCGUAGUGUACCUUUACAGCCACCCAGUUACGUUGUGACGUUUGGCACACCCAAAGCACUCCUACAGUAUCCGGGAGUUGCACAAUCUCAUGGUCUAAGGAAAUGAUACUUGACAUUAGAAAAGCUUUAGCAUACGAACUACAUGAUCUUGUGCUAGGCUUAGGAUUGGGUCUUGUCCAUCACAUCAUUCUCCUAAUGAUGUGAUCCCGUUAUCAACGACAUCCAAUGUCCAUGGUCAGGAAACCGUAACCAUCUAUUGAUUAACGAGCUAGUCAACUAGAGGCUUACUAGGGACAUGGUGUUGUCUAUGUAUCCACACAUGUAUCUAAGUUUCCUAUCAAUACAAUUCUAGCAUGGAUAAUAAACGAUUAUCAUGAACAAGGAAAUAUAAUAAUAAUCAAUUUAUUAUUGCCUCUAGGGCAUAUUUCCAACAGUCUCCCACUUGCACUAGAGUCAAUAAUCUAGUUCACAUCGAUAUGUGAUUAACACUCAAGGUCACAUUCCCAUGUGACUAACACCCAAGAGUUUACUAGAGUCAAUAAUCUAGUUCACAUUUACCAUGUGAUUAACACUUGAUGAGUUCUGGGUUUGAUCAUGUUAUGCUUGUGAGAGAGGUUAUAGUCAACGGGUCUGAACCUUUCAGAUCCGUGUGUGCUUUACAAAUCUCUAUGUCAUCUCCUAGAUGCAGCUACCACGUUCUAUUUGGAGCUAUUCCAAAUAACUGUUCUACUUGGAGCUAUUCUAAAUUGUUGCUCCAUUAUACGUAUCCGGUAUCUCUACUCAGAGCUAUCCGGAUAGGUGUUAAGCUUGCAUCGACGUAACCCUUUACGACGAACUCUUUUACCACCUCCAUAAUUGAGAAAAUUCCUUAGUCCACUAGUUACUAAGGAUAACUUUGACCGCUGUCCUGUGAUCCAUUCUUGGAUCACUCUUGUACCCCUUGACUGACUCAUGGUAAAGCACACUUCAGGUGCGGUACACAGCAUAGCAUACUGUAGAGCCUAUGUCUUAAGCAUAGGGGACGACCUUCGUUCCUUUCUCUCUAUUCUGCCAUGGUCGAGCUUUAAGUCUUAACUUCAUACCUUACAACUCAGGCAAGAACUCCUUCUUUGACUGAUCCAUCUUGAACACCUUCAAGAUCACGUCAAGGCAUGUGCUCACGUCAAGAUCACGUCGGUAUACCGAUACCUUGUUCAAUCUCGUUACCGGCAAGUCUCUUUACUCGUUCCGUAACACAUCAUCCCGUGAUCAACCCCUUGGUCACAUUGUGCACAUUAUGAUGAUGUCCUACCGAGUGGGCCCAGAGAUACCUCUCCGUUUACACGGAGUGACAAAAUCCCAAUCUCGAUUCGUGCCAACCCAACAGACACUUUCAGAGAUACCCGUAGUGUACCUUUAUAGCCACCCAGUUACGUUGUGACGUUUGGCACACCCAAAGCACUCCUACGGUAUCCGGGAGUUGCACAAUCUCAUGGUCUAAGGAAAUGAUACUUGACAUUAGAAAAGCUUUAGCAUACGAACUACAUGAUCUUGUGCUAGGCUUAGGAUUGGGUCUUGUCCAUCACAUCAUUCUCCUAAUGAUGUGAUCCCGUUAUCAACGACAUCCAAUGUCCAUGGUCAGGAAACCGUAACCAUCUAUUGAUUAACGAGCCAGUCAACUAGAGGCUUACUAGGGACAUGGUGUUGUCUAUGUAUCCACACAUGUAUCUGAGUUUCCUAUCAAUACAAUUCUAGCAUGGAUAAUAAACGAUUAUCAUGAACAAGGAAAUAUAAUAAUAAUCAAUUUAUUAUUGCCUCUAGGGCAUAUUUCCAACAGUCUCCCACUUGCACUAGAGUCAAUAAUCUAGUUCACAUCACCAUGUGAUUAACACUGACAGGUCACAUCACCAUGUGACCAACAUCCAAAGAGUCUUGGGUUUGAUCAUGUUGCUUGUGAGAGAGGUUAUAGUCAACGGGUCUGAACCUUUCAGAUCCGUGUGUGCUUUACAAAUCUCUAUGUCAUCUCCUAGAUGCAGCUACCACGUUCUAUUUGGAGCUAUUCCAAAUAACUGUUCUACUUGGAGCUAUUCUAAAUUGUUGCUCCAUUAUACGUAUCCGGUAUCUCUACUCAGAGCUAUCCGGAUAGGUGUUAAGCUUGCAUCGACGUAACCCUUUACGACGAACUCUUUUACCACCUCCAUAAUUGAGAAAAUUCCUUAGUCCACUAGUUACUAAGGAUAACUUUGACCGCUGUCCUGCGAUCCAUUCUUGGAUCACCCUUGUACCCCUUGACUGACUCAUGGUAAAGCACACUUCAGGUGCGGUACACAGCAUAGCAUACUGUAGAGCCUAUGUCUUAAGCAUAGGGGAUGACCUUCGUUCCUUUCUCUCUAUUCUGCCAUGGUCGAGCUUUAAGUCUUAACUUCAUACCUUACAACUCAGGCAAGAACUCCUUCUUUGACUGGUCCAUCUUGAACACCUUCAAGAUCAUGUCAAGGUAUGUGCUCAUUUGAAAGUACUAUUAAGCGUUUUGAUCUAUCCUUAUAGAUCUUGAUGCUCAAUGUUCAAGUAGCUUAAUCCAGGUUUUCCAUUGAAAACACUUUCCAAAUAACCCUAUAUGCUUUCCAGAAAUUCUACGUCAUUUCUGAUCAUUAAUAUGUCAACAACAUAUAAUCAUCAGAAAUUCUAUAGUGCUCCCACUCACUUCUUUGGAAAUACAAGUUUCUCAUAAACUUUGUAUACACCCAAAAUCUUUGAUCAUCAUCAAAGCAUACAUUCCAACUCCGAGAUGCUCACUCCAGUCCUCAGAAGGAUUGCUGGAGCUUUGCAUACUUAUUAGCAUAUUUCAGGAUAGACAAAACCUUCCAGUUGUAUCACAUACAACCUUUCCUCAAGAAUCGUCGACGAAACAAUGUUUUGACAUCCUAUCUGCAAGAUUUCAUAAAUAAUGCAGUAAUUGUUAAUAUAAUUCCAACAGACUCUUAGCAUCGCUACGAGUGAGAAAGUCUCAUUGUAGUCAACUCCUUGAACUUGUCAAAAAACAUCUUAACGACAAGUCGAGCUUUCUCAAUGGUGACACUUACCAUCAUUGUCUGUCUUCCUUUCAAAAUCCAUAUGUACCUAACAGCCUUACGACCAUCAAGUAGUUCUUCCAAAGUCUACACUUUGUUUUCAUACAUGGAUCCUCUCUCGGGUUUUAUGGCCAUGAGCCAUUUAUCGGAAUCCGGGCCCACCAUUGCUUCUCCAUAGCUCGUAGGUUCAUUGUUGUCUAGCAACAUGACUUCCAAGACAGGAUUACUGUACCACUCUGAAGUAGUACGUAUCCUUGUCACCCUACGAGGUUUGGGAGUGACUUGAUCUGAAGUUUCAUGAUCACUAUCAUAAGCUUCUACUUCAAUUGGUGUAGGUGCCACAGGAACAACUUCCUGUGCCCUGCUACACACUGGUUGAAGUGAUGGUUCAAUAACCUCAUCAAGUCUCCACCAUCCUCCCACUCAAUUCUUUCGAGAGAAACCUUUCCUCGAGAAAGGACCCAAUUCUAGAAACAAUUCAUAUUGCUUUCGGAUCUGAAUUAGGAAGUAUACCCAACUGUUUUGGGUGUCCUAUGAAGAUGUACUUUAUCCGCUUUGGUUUCGAGCUUAAUCCUGAAACUUUUUCACAUAAGUGUCGCAGCCCCAAACCUUUAAGAAACGACAACUUAGGUUUCUCUAAACCAUAAUUCAUACGGUGUCAUCUCAUCGGAAUUACGUGGUGCCCUAUUUAAAGUGAAUGUGGUUGUCUUUAAUGCCUAACCCAUAAACUAUCGUGGCAGUUCGAUAAGAGACAUCAUGGUAUGCAUCAUAUCCAAUAGGGUGCAACUAUGAUGUUCGGACACACCAUCACACUAUGGUGUUCCAGGCGGUAUUAAUUGUGAAACAAUUUCCACAAUGUCUUAAUUGUGUGCCAAAACUCGUAACUCAGAUACUCAUCUCUAUGAUCAUAUCAUAGACAUUUUAUCCUCUUGUCACAAUGAUCUUCUACUUCACUCUGAAAUUACUUGAACCAUUCAACAAUUCAGACUUGUGUUUCAUCAAGUAAAUAUUCUCAACAUCUACUCGAAUCAUCUGUGAAGUAAGAACAUAACGAUAUUCACUGCAUGCCUCAGCACUCAUUGGACUGCACACAUCAAAAUGUGUUACUUCCAACAAGUUGCUAUCUUGUUCCAUCUUACUGAAAACGAGGCUUUUCAGUCAUCUUGCCCAUGUGGUAUGAUUUGCAUGUCCCAAGUGAUUCAAAAAUCAAGUGAGUCAAAACGGUCCAUUUGCAUGGAGUUUCUUCAUGCAUAUACACCAAUAGACAUGGUUCGCAUGUCUCAAACUUUUCAAAAACGAGUGAGCCCAAAGAUCCAUCAAUAUGGAGCUUCUUCAUGCGUUUUAUACCGAUAUGACUUACGUGGUAGUGCCACAAGUAGGUGGUACUAUCAUUACUAUCUUUUGGCAUGAACAUGUGUAUCACUACGAUCGAGAUUUAAUAAACCAUUCAUUUUAGGUGUAAGACCAUUGAAGGUAUUAUUCAAAUAAACAGAGUAACCAUUAUUCUCCUUAAAUGAAUAACCGUAUUGCGAUAGACGUAAUCCAAUCAUGUCUAUGCUCAACGCAAACACCAAAUAACAAUUAUUUAGGUUUAACACCAAUCUCUUUGGUAGAGGGAGCGUGCGAUGCUUGAUCAUAUCAAGCAUGGAAAAACUUACAACACAUAUCGUCAGCUCACCUUUAGCUAGUCUCUGUUUAUUCCGUAGCCUUUUGUUUCGAGUUACUAACACUUAGCAACCGAACUGGUAUCUAAUACCCUGGUGCUACUAGGAGUACUAGCAAAGUACACAUUAACACAAUGUAUAUCCAAUAUACUUCUAUCGACCUUGCCAGCCUUCUUAUCUACCAAGUAUCUAGGGUAAUUCUGCUCUAGUAGUUGUUCCCCUUAUUACAGAAGCACUUAGUCUCGGGUUUGGGUUUUACCUUGGGUUUCUUCACUAGAGCAGCAGCUGAUUUGCCGUUUCAUGAAGUAUCCCUUCUUGCCCUUGCCCUUCUUGAAACUAGUGGUUCCACCAACCAUCAACAAUUGAUGCUCCUUCUUGAUUUCUACUUUCGCGGUGUCAAACAUCGCGAAUACCUCAAGGAUCAUCAUAUCUAUCCCUGAUAUGUUAUAGUUCAUCAUGAAGCUCUAACAGCUUGGUGGCAAUGACUUUGGAGAACCAUCACUAUCUCAUCUGGAAGAUCAACUCCCACUCGAUUCAAGCGAUUGUUGUACUCAGACAAUCUGAGCACAAGCUCAACGAUUGAGCUUUUCUCCCUUAGUUUGCAGGUUAAGAAAGUCAUCGGAGGUCUUAUACCUCUUGACAUGGGCACGAGCCUGAAAUCCCAAUUUCAGCCCUCAAAACAUCUCAUAUGUUUCGCGAUGUUUCAAAAACGUCUUUGGUGCCUCAACUCUAAACCGUUUAACUGAACUAUCACGUAGUUAUCAAAACGUGUAUGUCAGAUGUUCGCAACAACCACAGACAACGUUCGAGGUUCAGCACACUGAGCGGUGCAUUAAGGACAUAAGCCUUCUAUGAAGCAAUGAGGACAAUCCUCAGUUUACGGACCUAGUCCGCAUAAUUGCUACUAUCAACUUUCAACUAAUUUUUCUCUAGGAACAUAUCUAAACAGUAGAACUAUAGCGUGAGCUACGACAUAAUUUGCAAAAACCUUUUGACUAUGUUCAGGAUAAUUAAGUUCAUCUUAUGAACUCCCACUCAGAUAGACAUCCCUCUAGUCAUCUAAGUGAUUACAUGAUCCGAGUCAAACUAGGCCGUGUCCGAUCAUCACGUGAGACGGACUAGUCAUCAUCGGUGAACAUCUUCAUGUUGAUCGUAUCUUCUAUACGACUCAUGUUCGACCUUUCGGUCUUCGUGUUCCGAGGCCAUGUAUGUACAUGCUAGGCUCGUCAAGUUAACCCUAAGUGUUUCGCGUGUGUAAAUCUGUCUUACACCCGUUGUAUGUGAACGUUAGAAUCUAACACCCGAUCAUCACGUGGUGCUUCGAAACACGAACUGUCGCAACGGUGCACAGUUAGGGGAGAACACUUCUUGAAAUUGUUGUAAGGGAUCAUCUUAUUUACUACCGUCGUUCUAAGCAAAUAAGAUGUAUAAACAUGAUAAACAUCACAUGCAAUCAAAUAGUGACAUGAUAUGGCCAUCAUCACUUUGCUCCUUUUGAUCUCCAUCUUCGGGGCUCCAUGAUCAUCAUCGUCACCGGCAUGACACCAUGAUCUCCAUCAUCAUGAUCUCCAUCAUCGUGUCUUCAUGAAGUUGCCUCGCCAACUAUUACUUCUACUACUAUGGCUAACGGUUAGCAAUAAAGUAAAGUAAUUACAUGACGUUUAAGUUGACACGCAGGUCACAAAUGAAUAAAGACAACUCCUAUGGCUCCUGCCGGUUGUCAUACUCAUCGACAUGCAAGUCGUGAUUCCUAUUACAAGAACAUGAUCAAUCUCAUACAUCACAUAUAUCAUUCAUCACAUCCUUUUUGGCCAUAUCACAUCACAUAGCAUACCCUGCAAAAACAAGUUAGACGUCCUCUAAUUGUUGUUUGCAUGUUUUACGUGGCUGCUAUGGGUUUCUAGCAAGAACGUUUCUUACCUACGCAUGAACAACAACGUGAUAUGCCAAUUGCUAUUUACCCUUCAUAAGGACCCUUUUCAUCGAAUCCGAUCCGACUAAAGUGGGAGAGACAGACACCCGCCAGCCACCUUAUGCAACUAGUGCAUGUUUGUCGGUGGAACCGGUCUCACGUAAGCGUACGUGUAAGGUUGGUCCGGGCCGCUUCAUCCCACGAUGCCGCCGAAUCAAGAUAAGACUAGUAACGGCAAGCAUAUUGAACAAUAUCAACGCCCACAACUACUUUGUGUUCUACUCGUGCAAAGAAUCUACGCAAUAGACCUAGCUCAUGAUGCCACUGUUGGGGAACGUAGCAGAAAUUCAAAAUUUUCCUACGUGUCACCAAGAUCUAUCUAUGGAGAUACUAGCAACGAGGGAAGGAGAGUGCAUCUACAUACCCUUGUAGAUCGCUAAGCGGAAGCGUUCAAGUGAACGGGGUUGAUGGAGUCGUACUCGUCGUGAUUCAGAUCACCGAUGAUCCUAGUGCCGAACGGACGGCACCUCCGCGUUCAACACACGUACAGCUCGACGAUGUCUCCCACGCCUUGAUCCAGCAAGGAGAGAGGGAGAGGUUGAGGAAGACUCCAUCCAGCAGCAGCACAACGGCGUGGUGGUGAUGGAGGAGCGUGGCAAUCCUGCAGGGCUUCGCCAAGCACCUACGGGAGAGGAGGAGGUGUCACGGGAGGGAGGGAGGCGCCAAGGGCUCAGGUAUAGAUGCCCUCCCUCCCCUCCACUAUAUAUAGGGGCAAGGGAGAGGGGGAGGCGCAUCCUUGCCCCUUCCUCCAAGGAAGGGGUGCGGCUAAGAGGGGGGGAGGAGUCCAUCCUCCCCAAGGCACCUCGGAGGUGCCUUCCCCCUUUAGGACUCUCCCCUUUUUCCUAUAUCUUGGCGCAUGGGCCUCUAGGGGCUGGUGCCCUUGGCCCAUGUAGGCCAAGGCGCACCCCCCUACAGCCCAUGUGGCCCCCCGGGGCAGGUGGCCCCACCCGGUGGGCCCCCGGGACCCUUCCGGUGGUCCCGGUACAAUACCGAUGACCCCGAAACUUGUCCCGAUGGCCGAAACAGGACUUCCUAUAUAUAAAUCUUUACCUCCGGACCAUUCCGGAACUCCUCGUGACGUCCGGGAUCUCAUCCGGGACUCCGAACAACAUUCGGUAACCACAUACAAACUUCCUUUAUAACCCUAGCGUCAUCGAACCUUAAGUGUGUAGACCCUACGGGUUCGGGAGACAUGUAGUCAUGACCGAGAUGUUCUCCGGUCAAUAACCAACAGCGGGAUCUGGAUACCCAUGUUGGCUCGCACAUGUUCCACGAUGAUCUCAUCGGAUGAACCACGAUGUCAAGGACUCAAUCAAUCCCGUAUACAAUUCCCUUUGUCUAGCGGUAUGGUACUUGCCCGAGAUUCGAUCGUCGGUAUACCGAUACCUUGUUCAAUCUCGUUACCGGCAAGCCUCUUUACUCGUUCCGUAACACAUCAUCCCGUGAUCAACCCCUUGGUCACAUUGUGCACAUUAUGAUGAUGUCCUACCGAGUGGGCCCAGAGAUACCUCUCCGUUUACACGGAGUGACAAAAUCCCAAUCUCGAUUCGUGCCAACCCAACAGACACUUUCAGAGAUACCCGUAGUGUACCUUUAUAGCCACCCAGUUACGUUGUGACGUUUGGCACACCCAAAGCACUCCUACGGUAUCCGGGAGUUGCACAAUCUCAUGGUCUAAGGAAAUGAUACUUGACAUUAGAAAAGCUUUAGCAUACGAACUACAUGAUCUUGUGCUAGGCUUAGNNNNNNNNNNUGAUCAACCCCUUGGUCACAUUGUGCACAUUAUGAUGAUGUCCUACCGAGUGGGCCCAGAGAUACCUCUCCGUUUACACGGAGUGACAAAAUCCCAAUCUCGAUUCGUGCCAACCCAACAGACAUUUUCAGAGAUACCCGUAGUGUACCUUUAUAGCCACCCAGUUACGUUGUGACGUUUGGCACACCCAAAGCACUCCUACGGUAUCCGGGAGUUGCACAAUCUCAUGGUCUAAGGAAAUGAUACUUGACAUUAGAAAAGCUUUAGCAUACGAACUACAUGAUCUUGUGCUAGGCUUAGGAUUGGGUCUUGUCCAUCACAUCAUUCUCCUAAUGAUGUGAUCCCGUUAUCAACGACAUCCAAUGUCCAUGGUCAGGAAACCGUAACCAUCUAUUGAUUAACGAGCUAGUCAACUAGAGGCUUACUAGGGACAUGGUGUUGUCUAUGUAUCCACACAUGUAUCUGAGUUUCCUAUCAAUACAAUUCUAGCAUGGAUAAUAAACGAUUAUCAUGAACAAGGAAAUAUAAUAAUAAUCAAUUUAUUAUUGCCUCUAGGGCAUAUUUCCAACAAGAAACGGGGAACAAACUGAUGAAAGAAUGAUCAUACCGAGGGAAUUCACUCAGAACUAACAAGAAUGAUAACGUGCUUUGACUGGAGCGGUUUAAAAACUGCUGGAAGGCUCUAGGGGAAUAAAGAUGGAAUGCCUUCAAAUUUCUAGGUCCGUAUGAUUUGAAAUACUUGCACACAAACCGCGCGAAAGCGUUCCUGGAAAUCUCAGCCCAAAAAAGGACGUUUAGUAAUUCUAAAAGGGACUACAGAAUGAAAAACAAUAGUUUUGGCAGUUAAAGUUUGAGAUUCGAUGGUGCCGUAGAUCCGUUUGGUCAUCAGGUGUAACGAGCCACACCCAUGUCUAGCUAGAGUAGUGUGCUAGGCUCAGGCUAGAGAAGAAACGGGGAACAAACUGAUGAAAGAAUGAUCAUACCGAGGGAAUUCACUCAGAACUAACAAGAAUGAUAACGUGCUCCGACUGGAGCGGUUUAGGAACUGCUGGAAGGCUCUAGGGGAAGAAAGAAGGAAUGACUUCUAAUUUUUAGGUCCGUAUGAUUUGAAAUACGUGCACACAAACCGCGCGAAAGCGUUCCUGGAAAUCUCAGCCCAAAAAAGGACGUUUAGUAUUCUAAAAGGGACUACAGAAUGAAAAACAAUAGUUUUGGCAGUUAAAGUUUGAGAUUCGACGGUGCCGUAGAUCCGUUUGGUCAUCAGGUGUUACGAGCCACACCCAUGUCUAGCUAGAAUAGUGUGCNNNNNNNNNNNNNNNNNNNNNNNNNCGUAUGAUUUGAAAUACGUGCACACAAACCGCGCGAAAGCGUUCCUGGAAAUCUCAGCCCAAAAAAGGACGUUUAGUAUUCUAAAAGGGACUACAGAAUGAAAAACAAUAGUUUUGGCAGUUAAAGUUUGAGAUUCGACGGUGCUGUAGAUCCGUUUGGUCAUCAGGUGUUACGAGCCACACCCAUGUCUAGCUAGAAUAGUGUGCUAGGCUCAGGCUAGAGAAGAAAAGGGGAACAAACUAAUGAAAGAAUGAUCAAUACGAGGGAAUUCACUCAGAACUAACAAUAAUGAUAACGUGCUCCGACUGGAGCGGUUUAGGAACUGCUGGAAGGCUCUAGGCGAAUAAAGAUGGAAUGACUUCUAAUUUUUACGUCCGUAUGAUUUGAAAUACUUGCACACAAACCACGCAAAAGCGUUCCUGGAAAUCUCGGCCUAAAAAGGACGUUUAGUAAUUCUAAAAGGGACUACAGGAUGAAAAAUAAUAGUUUGGGCAGUUAAAAUUUGAGAUUCGACGGUGCCGUAGAUCCGUUUGGUCAUCAGGUGUUACGAGCCACACCCAUGUCUAGCUAGAAUAGUGUGUUAGGCUCAGGCUAGAGAAGAAACGAGGAACAAACUGAUGAAAGAAUGAUCAUACCAAGGGAAUUCACUCAGAACUAACAAGAAUGAUAACGUGCUCCGACUGGAGCAGUUUAGAAACUGCUGGAAGGCUCUAGGGGAAUAAAGAUGGAAUGACUUCUGAUUUUUAGGUCCGUAUGAUUUGAAAUACGUGCACACAAACCCCGCGAAAGCGUUCCUGGAAAUCUCAGCCCAAAAAAGGACGUUUAGUAAUUCUAAAAGGGACUACAACAUGAAAAACAAUAGUUUUGGCAGUUAAAGUUUGAGAUUUCAUGGUGCCGUAGAUCUGUUUGGUCAUCAGGUGUUACGAGCCACACCCAUGUCUAGCUAGAAUAGUGUGUUAGGCUCAGGCUAGAAAAGAAACGGGAAACAAAGUGAUGAAAGAAUGACCAUACCGAGGGAAUUCACUCAGAACUAACAAGAAUGAUAACAUGCUCCGACUUGAGCGGUUUAGGAACUGCUGGAAGGCUCUAGGGGAAUAAAGAUGGAAUGACUUCUAAUGUUUAGGUCCGUAUGAUUUGAAAUACUUGCACAUAAACCGCACAAAAGCGUUCCUGGAAAUCUCAGCCCAAAAAAGGACGUUUAGUAAUUCUAAAAGGGACUACAGGAUGAAAAACAAUAGUUUUGGCAGUUAAAGUUUGAGAUUCGACGGUGCCGUAGAUCCGUUUGGUCAUCAGGUGUUACGAGCCACACCCAUGUCUAGCUAGAAUAGUGUGUUAGGCUCAGGCUAGAGAAGAAACUUGGAACAAACUGAUGAAAGAAUGAUCAAACCAACGGAAUUCACUCAGAACUAACAAUAAUGAUAACGUGCUCCGACUGGAGCAGUUUAGGAACUGCUGGAAGGCUCUAGGGGAAUAAAGAUGGAAUGACUUCUAAUUUUUAGGUCCGUAUGAUUUGAAAUACUUGCACGCAAACCGCGCGAAAGCGUUCCUGGAAAUAUCAGCCCAAAAAAGGACGUUUAGUAAUUCUAAAAGGGACUACAGGAUGAAAACAAUAGUUUUGGCAGUUAAAGUUUGAGAUUCAACAGUGCCGUAGAUCCGUUUGGUCAUCAGGUGUUAUGAGCCAUACCCAUGUCUAGCUAGAGUAGUGUGCUAGGCUCAGGCUAGAGAAGAAACAGGGAACAAACUGAUGAAAGAAUGAUCAUACCGAGGGAAUUCACUCAGAACUAACAAGAAUGAUAACGUGCUCCGACUGGAGCGGUUUAGGAACUGCUGGAAGGCUCUAGGGGAAUAAAGAUGGAGUGACUUCUAAAUUUUUAGGUCCGUAUGAUUUAAAAUACUUGCACACAAACCGCACGAAAGCGUUCCUUGAAAUCUCAGCCCAAAAAAGGACGUUUAGUAAGUCUAAAAGGGACUAUAGGAUGAAAAACAAUAGUUUUGGCAGUUAAAGUUUGAGAUUCGAUGGUGCCGUAGAUCUGUUUGGUCAUCAGGUGUUACGAGCCACACCCAUGUCUAGUUGGAAUAGUGUGCUAGGCUCAGACUAGAGAAGAAACAGGGAACAAACUGAUGAAAGAAUGAUCAAACCGAGGAAAUUCACUCAGAACUAACAAUAAUGAUAACAUGCUCCGACUGGAGCGGUUUAGGAACUGCUGGAAGGCUCUAGGGGAAUAAAGAUGGAAUGACUUCUAAAUUUUUAGGUCCGUAUGAUUUGAAAUAGUUGCACACAAACUGCGCGAAAGCGUUCCUGGAAAUCUCAGCCCAAAAAAGGACGUUUAGUAAUUCUAAAAGGGACUAUAGGAUGAAAAACAAUAGUUUUGGCAGUUAAAGUUUGAGAUUCGACGGUGCCGUAGAUCCGUUUGGUCAUCACGUGUUACAAGCCACACCCAUGUCUAGCUAGAGUAGUGUGCUAGGCUCAGACUAUAGAAGAAACGGGGACCAAACUGAUGAAAGAAUGAUCAAACCGAGGAAAUUCACUCAGAACUAACAAUAAUGAUAACAUGCUCCGACUGGAGCGGUUUAGGAACUACUGGAAGGCUCUAGGGGAAUAAAGAUGGAAUGACUUCUAAAUUUUUAGGUCCGUAUGAUUUUAAAUAGUUGCACACAAACUGCGCGAAAGCGUUCCUGGAAAUCUCAGCCCAAAAAAGGACGUUUAGUAAUUCUAAAAGGGACUACAGGAUGAAAAACAAUAGUUUGGGCAGUUAAAAUUUGAGAUUCGACGGUGCCGUAGAUCCGUUUGGUCAUCAGGUGUUACGAGCCACACCCAUGUCUAGCUAGAGUAGUGUGCUAGGCUCAGGCUAGAGAAGAAACAGGGAACAAACUGAUGAAAGAAUGAUCAUACCGAGGGAAUUCACUCAGAACUAACAAGAAUGAUAACGUGCUCUGACUGGAGCGGUUUAAGAACUGUUGGAAGGCUCUAGGGGAAUAAAGAUGGAAUCACUUCAAAUUUUUACGUCCGUGUGAUUUGAAAUACUUGCACACAAACCGCACGAAAGCGUUCCUGGAAAUCUCAGCCCAAAAAAGGACGUUUAGUAAGUCUAAAAGGGACUACACGAUGAAAAACAAUAGUUUUGGCAGUUAAAGUUUGAGAUUCGACAGUGCCGUAGAUCCGUUUGGUCAUCAGGUGUAACGAGCCACACCCAUGUCUAGAUAGAGUAGUGUGCUAGGCUCAAACUAGAGAAGAAACGGGGAACAAACUGAUGAAAGAAUGAUCAUACCGAGGGAAUUCACUCAGAAAUAACAAGAAUGAUAACGUGCUCUGACUGGAGCGGUUUAGGAACUGCUGGAAGGCUCUAGGGGAAUAAAGAAGGAAUGACUUCUAAUUUUUAGGUCCGUAUGAUUUGAAAUACGUGCACACAAACCCCGAGAAAGCGUUCCUGGAAAUCUCGACCCAAAAAAGGACGUUUAGUAAUUCUAAAAGGGACUACGGGAUGAAAAACAAUAGUUUUGGCAGUUAAAGUUUGAGAUUCGAUAAUGCCGUAGAUCCAUUUGGUCAUCAGGUGUAACGAGCCACACCCAUGUCUAGCUAGAGUAGUGUGCUAGGCUCAGACUAGAGAAGAAACAGGGAACAAACUGAUGAAAGAAUGAUCAUAUCGAGGGAAUUCACUCAGAACUAACAAGAAUGAUAACAUGCUCCGACUUGAGCGGUUUAGGAACUGCUGGAAGGCUCUAGGGGAAUAAAGAUGGAAUGACUUCUAAUUUUUAGGUCCGUAUGAUUUGAAAUACUUACACACAAACCACGCGAAAGCGUUCCUGGAAAUCUCAGCCCAAAAAAGGACGUUUAGUAAUUCUAAAAGGGACUACAUGAUGAAAAACAAUAGUUUUCGCAGUUAAAGUUUGAGAUUCGACGGUGCCGUAGAUCCGUUUGGUCAUCAAGUGUUACGAGCCACACCCAUGUCUAGCUAGAAUAGUGUGUUAGGCUCAGCCUAGAGAAGAAACGGGGAACAAACUGAUGAAAGAAUGAUCAUACCGAGGGAAUUCACUCAGAACUUACAAGAAUGAUAACGUGCUCCGACUUGAGCGGUUUAAGAACUGUUGGAAGGCUCUAGGGGAAUAAAGAUGGAAUCACUUCAAAUUUUUACGUCCGUGUGAUUUGAAAUACUUGCACACAAACCCCGAGAAAGCGUUCCUGGAAAUCUCGGCCGAAAAAAGGAUGUUUAAUAAUUCUAAAAGGGACUACAGGAUGAAAAACAAUAGCUUUGGCAGUUAAAGUUUGUGAUUCGAUGGUGCCGUAGAUCUGUUUGGUCAUCAGGUGUUAUGAGCCACACCCAUGUCUAGCUAGAAUAGUGUGUUAGGCUCAGGCUAGAGCAGAAACUAGGAACAAACUUAUGAAAGAAUGAUCAUACCGAGGGAAUUCACUCAGAACUAACAAGAAUGAUAACGUGCUCCGACUGGAGCGGUUUAGGAACUGCUGGAAGGCUCUAGGGGAAUAAAGAUGGAAUGACUUCUAAUUUUUAGGUCCGUAUGAUUUGAAAUACAUGCACACAAACCCCAAGAAAGCGUUCCUAGAAAUCUCAGCCCAAAAAGGACGUUUAGUAAUUCUAAAAGGGACUACAGGAUGAAAAACAAUAGGUUUGGCAGUUAAAGUUUGAGAUUCGAUAAUGCCGUAGAUCCGUUUGGUCAUCAGGUGUAACGAGCCACACCCAUGUCUAGCUACAUUAGUGUGCUAGGCUCAGACUAGAGAAGAAACGGGGAACAAACUGAUGAAAGAAUGAUCAUACCGAGGGAAUUCACUCAGAACUAACAAGAACGAUAACAUGCUCCGACUGCAGCGGUUUAGGAACUGCUGGAAGGCUCUAGGGGAAUAAAGAAGGAAUGACUUCUAAUUUUUAGGUCCGUAUGAUUUGAAAUACUUGCACACAAACCGCGCGAAAGCAUUCCUGGAAAUCUCAGCCCAAAAAAGGACGUUUAGUAAUUCUAAAAGGGACUACAGGAUGAAAAACAAUAAUUUUGGCAGUUAAAGUUUGAGAUUCGACGGUGCCGUAGAUCCGUUUGGUCAUCAGGUGUUACGGGCCAUACCCAUGUCUAGCUAGAAUAGUGUGUUAGGCUCAGGUUAGAGAAGAAACGGGGAACAAAGUGAUGAAAGAAUGAUCAUACCGAGGGAAUUCACUCAGAACUAACAAGAAUGAUAACGUGCUCCGACUGGAGCGGUUUAGGAAUUGCUGGAAGGCUCUAGGGGAAUAAAGAUGGAAUGACUUCUAUAUUUUACGUCCGUAUGAUUUGAAAUACUUGCACACAAACCACGCAAAAGCACUCCUGGAAAUAUCAGCCUAAAAAGGAUGUUUAGUAAUUCUAAAAGGGACUACAGGAUGAAAAAUAAUAGUUUUGGCAGUUAAAAUUUGAGAUUCAACGGUGCCGUAAAUCCGUUUGGUCAUCAGGUGUUACGAGCCACACCCAUGUCUAGCUAGAAUAGUGUGUUAGGCUCAGGUUAGAGAAGAAACGGGGAACAAACUGAUGAAAGAAU
rnacentral:lncRNA from 1 species